AACGAACGCUGGCGGCGUGGCUAAGACAUGCAAGUCAAACGGACUAUACAAUUGAGUAAUCGAUCGUAUAGUUAGUGGCGAAAGGGUUAGUAAUGGAUAGGUAACGUACCCUGUGCUUCGGAAUAGCGUCUCCCGACUUGUCGGGAUACCGAAAGGGUCGGUAAUACCGAAUAAUAUCAGUUGUCGAUGGGCAACUGGUCAAAGAUUUAUCGGCAUUGGAGCGGCCUAUCUCCUAUCAGCUUGUUGGUGAGGUGACGGCUCACCAAGGCAGCGACGGGUAGCGGGACUGAGAGGUUGGCCCGCAACAUCGGGACUGAGACACUGCCCGGACCUCCACGGAGGGCUGCAGUAACGAAUAUUGCGCAAUGGGCGAAAGCCUGACGCAGCGACGCCGCGUGCGGGAGGAAGUCCUUCGGGAUGUAAACCGCUGUCAGGGGUAAGAAAGUUCGCUUCGGCGGAUUGAUCUAACCCAAAGGAAGUCACGGCUAACUUCGUGCCAGCAGCCGCGGUAAGACGAAGGUGGCAAGCGUUGUUCGGUGUUACUGGGCUUAAAGGGUGUGUAGGCGGAAAGGUAAGCGUCUUGUGAAAGCCCCCGGCUUAACCGGGGAAUUGCUUGGCGAACUGCCUUUCUUGAGGCAGGCAGGGGCGCAUGGAACUCUUGGUGGAGCGGUGGAAUGCGUAGAUAUCAAGAGGAACGCCGAUGGAGAAAUCAGUGCGCUGGGCCUGUCNUGACGCUGAUACACGAAAGCGUNGGGAGCGAACGGGAUUAGAUACCCCGGUAGUCCACGCCGUAAACGAUGUCUACUAGGUCGUGGAGGUUCUGACACCUGCACAGCCGAAGCAAAAGUGUUAAGUAGACCGCCUGGGGAGUACGGUCGCAAGGCUAAAACUCAAAGGAAUUGACGGGGGCUCACACAAGCGGUGGAGCAUGUGGUUCAAUUCGACGCAACGCGAAGAACCUUACCUGGGUUUGAACUGUUGGUGGUAAAACCUCGAAAGGGGAAUGAUCCUGGCUUGCCAGGAAGCCAGCAGAGGUGCUGCAUGGCUGUCGUCAGCUCGU
rnacentral:rRNA from 1 species